UACGAAGGGGGCUAGCGUUGUUCGGAAUUACUGGGCGUAAAGCGUGCGUAGGCGGUGUCUUAAGUUUGUUGUGAAAUCUCCCGGCUUAACCGGGAGGGUGCGGCGAAUACUGAGAUGCUGGAGUGCCGGAGAGGUAAGCGGAAUUCCUGGUGUAGCGGUGAAAUGCGUAGAUAUCAGGAGGAACACCUGCGGUGUAGACGGCUUACUGGACGGUAACUGACGCUGAGGCACGAAAGCGUGGGUAGCAAACAGG
rnacentral:rRNA from 1 species